AGUGAACGCUGGCGGUAGGCCUAACACAUGCAAGUCGAACGGCAGCACAGUAAGAGCUUGCUCUUACGGGUGGCGAGUGGCGGACGGGUGAGGAAUGCAUCGGAAUCUACUCUGUCGUGGGGGAUAACGUAGGGAAACUUACGCUAAUACCGCAUACGACCUACGGGUGAAAGCAGGGGAUCUUCGGACCUUGCGCGAUUGAAUGAGCCGAUGCCCGAUUAGCUAGUUGGCGGGGUAAGAGCCCACCAAGGCGACGAUCGGUAGCUGGUCUGAGAGGAUGAUCAGCCACACUGGAACUGAGACACGGUCCAGACUCCUACGGGAGGCAGCAGUGAGGAAUAUUGGUCAAUGGACGCAAGUCUGAACCAGCCACGUCGCGUGAA
rnacentral:rRNA from 1 species